rnacentral:rRNA from 1 species
AUUGAACGCUGGCGGCAUGCUUUACACACUGCAAGUCGAACGGCAGCAUGGGCUUCGGCCUGAUGGCGAGUGGCGAACGGGUGAGUAAGACAUCGGAACGUGCCUGGUAGUGGGGGAUAGCUCGGCGAAAGCCGGAUUAAUACCGCAUGAGAUCUAAGGAUGAAAGCAGGGGACCUUCGGGCCUUGUGCUACCAGAGCGGCUGAUGGCAGAUUAGGUAGUUGGUGGGGUAAAGGCUCACCAAGCCUGCGAUCUGUAGCUGGUCUGAGAGGACGACCAGCCACACUGGGACUGAGACACGGCCCAGACUCCUACGGGAGGCAGCAGUGGGGAAUUUUGGACAAUGGGCGCAAGCCUGAUCCAGCAAUGCCGCGUGCAGGAUGAAGGCCUUCGGGUUGUAAACUGCUUUUGUACGGAACGAAAAGCUCUUCUCUAAUACAGGAGAGUGAUGACGGUACCGUAAGAAUAAGCACCGGCUAACUACGUGCCAGCAGCCGCGGUAAUACGUAGGGUGCGAGCGUUAAUCGGAAUUACUGGGCGUAAAGCGUGCGCAGGCGGUUAUGUAAGACAGAGGUGAAAUCCCCGGGGCUCAACCUGGGGAACUGCCUUUGUGACUGCAUGGCUAGAGUGCGGCAGAGGGGGGAUGGAAUUUCCGCGUGUAGCAGUGAAAUGCGUAGAUAUGCUGGAGGAACACCGAUGGCGAAGGCAAAUCCCCUGGGCCUGCCACUGACGCUCAUGCACGAAAGCGUGGGGGAGCAAACAGGAUUAGAUACCCUGGUAGUCCACGCCCUAAACGAUGUCAACUGGUUGUUGGGGAUUAAUUUCUUCAGUAACGAAGCUAACGCGUGAAGUUGACCGCCUGGGGAGUACGGCCGCAAGGUUGAAACUCAAAGGAAUUUGACGGGGACCCGCACAAGCGGUGGAUGAUGUGGUUUAAUUCGAUGCAACGCGAAAAACCUUACCCACCUUUGACAUGGCAGGAAGACUCCAGAGACGGAGUUGUGCUCGAAAGAGAACCUGCACACAGGUGCUGCAUGGCUGUCGUCAGCUCGUGUCGUGAGAUGUUGGGUUAAGUCCCGCAACGAGCGCAACCCUUGCCAUUAGUUGCUACAAAAGGGCACUCUAAUGGGACUGCCGGUGACAAACCGGAGGAAGGUGGGGAUGACGUCAAGUCCUCAUGGCCCUUAUAGGUGGGGCUACACACGUCAUACAAUGGCUGGUACAAAGGGUUGCCAACCCGCGAGGGGGAGCUAAUCCCAUAAAGCCAGUCGUAGUCCGGAUCGCAGUCUGCAACUCGACUGCGUGAAGUCGGAAUCGCUAGUAAUCGUGGAUCAGAAUGUCACGGUGAAUACGUUCCCGGGUCUUGUACACACUGCCC